GGUUAUGUACGUUUUAAGAAAAUGUUGCGAAGCAGCUCCCUUAGGACCCACUAAGGCGGUGGAACUUUUCACCAAGUGAAUAAAUCGGUGGGAGCUUCAUUUUAAGUCAUUUUCACUUCCUAUACACUCCUAAAAACCUCUCCAACAGUUCCCACAAGAUCCAAGAGCUAAAUCAAAUGUCGGGAAUCCCGUGGUGCUAGUAGAACUUAGCUUCUUCUUGUUGUGUUGAAGAUGGAAGUUCCUUCAAGUUGAAGUAAGCUUGAGAAUAGGCUUGCUCUUGCUGGUUGAGAUUAAGAUGUGACGAGUUGAGUUCAACGUGAUUAUUGGACAGAUUAUUAUAAGGUUGAAGCGCUAUUCAAGCCGAGUACGUUGUCAUAGGCGAGCACUUGACAAGAGGUCCUGACAGGUAGCCAGAGACAACGCUUCAGUAGCGAGCAUCAGAGUUCAGCCGAUUGGUAAGCUCCCUUCAUCCGUGUCACGCCCCGAACCUGGGCCUGGACGUAACACGGCACCCGGUGCCUGACUGCAUGUGACCAAGUGAACCAACUGGCUGACUGAAUCAACAUGUGAUAUCAAAACAUAACUGAAUGUGGAAACAACUAAACACAUGCUGAUAUACUAAAGGUCUGACUGAAAUCAUAAUGCGGAAAUACAUAGAAAAUCUGAAAUAUAUCUAAAAGUAGCCAACAUGGCUAAACCAAAACGACUGAACAACUGCCAUCAAGGCUAACAUAAUAAAUAUCUGACUGUCUGAACCGUGUCUAUGAAGCCUAUGAGAGCACUGAAUAAUAAAGCUGUCUAUAAACUGAAAUGACUGGAUAGCUGACAACGCUCCGAAGGAAUUUGGGGCUCACCAGUAGCUGAUACGUGCUCCUAAAUAUCUGAGUCGUCACCUGUGUAUCGUUGCCCCACGCGCCUGAAAGAGCGACGGGUGUCGGUUCUGCACAGUGUUCGGUAAAAUGGACAUAACUUCUUGUACAUAGCUCUGUUUG